UUUUCAGGCGAGAUCAAAGUGAUGUCUCUAUGCCUCUCUCGCUCUAGUGAUCCAAAUAGCUGACGUGUACCCAAAAUGAAGCCCACCACCAAUGGGCUCUCUGCUUCUCAAUCUUCCUCCUUCCCGUUUCCGAGAUUCCGCGGCCAACUUCCGGUUAUCUUCACAAUCACAGCCAAGCAGAAGAAGAAUCUUCCAAAACUCGUUACUCUUUCCCUCCCUUCCCAUGAUUCUCAUGAUUCCUCCUCCCGAGUCGCCUGCUCUCGCCGCGCAAUCCUCGUCGCACCACCGCUCCUCGCCGCCGCCGUUUCGUUGUGGCCGUCUGUUUCUUCAGCCGCUGAGGGAAUCUCUUCCAUUGUGGCGGAAGCUUCGCCGGAAUCAGCAGCUCCUCCUCCUCCUCCUCUUCCUGCCGUCACGUCUCCUCCGCCGCCUGUAGCGAAGGAUGAGGCGAUUACCUCUAGAAUCUAUGACGCGACGGCGCUCGGUGAGCCGAUGGCUGUUGGGAAAGACAAGAAGAGAGUGUGGGAUAAGCUUCUGAAUGCGAGAAUUGUGUACCUCGGAGAGGCGGAACAAGUGCCUACUAGAGACGACAAGGAUCUCGAGCUCGAGAUCGUGAGGAAUGUGAGGAAUCGAUGCAUCGAGAGCGAGCGUCAGUUAUCUCUGGCAUUGGAUGCUUUCCCUCUUGAUUUGCAGGACCAGCUAAAUCAAUACAUGGAUAAGAGGAUGGACGGAGAGGUAUUGAAGUUGUUUGUGUCACAUUGGCCGGCUCAACGUUGGCAAGAGUAUGAGCCUCUUCUAAGUUAUUGUCGUGAUAACGCAGUAAAACUCAUUGCUUGUGGCACUCCGCUCAAGGUUUUGAGAACUGUUCAAGCUGAAGGUAUCCGUGGUCUUUCAGAGUCUGAGCGUAAAUUAUACACUCCUCCUGCGGGCUCUGGGUUUAUCUCAGGGUUUACUUCCUUCUCACGUAGUUCUUCACUCAAUAUGAAUCCACUCACACAGAUUGUUCCGUUUGGACCGAGCUCUUAUCUAUCGGCGCAAGCUAGAGUUGUUGAAGAGCAUACAAUGUCACAAGUUAUUUUACAAGCAGUUGCAGAUGGAGGUGGAACUGGUCUGCUGUUAGUAGUGACAGGGGCGAAUCAUGUUGAGUAUGGGUCAAGAGGAACAGGAUUGCCUGCAAGAGUCUCUAGGAAGAUUCCGAAGAAAAGUCAACUUGUUGUAUUACUUGAUCCUGAAAGGCAGUUCUUGCGGAAAGAAGGUGAAUCUCCAGUUGCUGAUUUCUUGUGGUAUUCUGCGGCUAGACCAUGCAGCAGAAACUGCUUUGACCGAGCAGAAAUCGCUCGGGUGAUGAAUGCUGCUGGUAGGAGACGCGAUGCUCUUCCCCAGGACAUUCAAAAUGGAUUAGACCUUGGUCUGGUGUCACCUGAGAUUCUACAGAAUUUCUUUGAUCUGGAGCAAUAUCCUCUUAUUGCAGAGCUUACACAACGGUUUCAGGGUUUCCGAGAAAGGCUGUUGGCAGAUCCCAAAUUCCUAAAUAGAUUAGCUAUUGAAGAAGCUAUAUCGAUAACAACGACUCUUGUAGCUCAAUAUGAGAAGCGGAAAGAAAACUUUUUUGAAGAACUCGACUAUGUCAUAACUGAUAGCGUAAGAGCAUCAGUUGUUGAUUUCUUCACAGUUUGGCUGCCUGCACCAACCUUGUCUUUUCUCUCAUAUGCUGAUGAGACAGCUAAACCAAACAGUAUAGACGCCCUACGAGGCCUCCUAGGAUCCAUACCUGACAAUGCAUUUCAAAAAAGUCUUGCUGGAAAAGAGUGGAGUCUGAAUCUUAGGAUUGCGUCAGUUAUUGUCGGUGGCUUGAAGCUUGCUGGUGUUGGAGUUGUUUCCAGUUUUGCAGCUGUGGGAUCUUCAAAUGCUUUGUAUGCAAUACGAAAAUUCAUUAAACCAGAGCUGGCUGUUGCUGAGAAAGCAAAGAGGUCUCCUAUGCUGAAAACGGCCGUUGUGUAUGGAAGUUAUCUGGGAACAUCUUCAAAUAUCCGUUAUCAGAUAAUUGCUGGGCUAAUUGAGCAUCGCAUUUCUGAUGAGCUUUCUUCUCAACCUCUACUUGUAAACAUGAUUUCAUUUGUUGUCCGAGUAGCUAACUCCUACUAUGGAACUCAGCAAUGGAUUGAUCUUGCACGCUCUACGGGCCUACAAACUCAGAAAAGUGUCACAGCUUCCAACCAAAUCCCAGAGGCUUUGAGCCAAUCUACAGUGGAAUAUAGUACUACCGAAGAGGCGACUAUUGAUGAUAUCAAGAAUCAAUGAAUUUUAUGCGGCUAUUCUACUAGGGGCAUCAAAUAUUAUUACCAUUUUGAGUUUUUGGAUAUAUGAAACAUAAAUCCAAUUGCACAUUGAAGCUGGCGAUGGCAUACAACUUGCUUGGUUUUGCCUUUGCAAUCUAUCUAACUGAGAGAUAGCAAAAUCCAGGAAUCUACCUGCCUAGAUAUGUUGAGUACAUGUGCCAAGUGAAAGACCCAGUUCGAUGCAGCAGCUGAAGGGUAGAUUUCAAAGUAAGCUGAACACACGUAUCUGAAUAUACUAUACAAUUUGUCUCAGGUCAGCAAGGUCUUCAAGCUCCUUCAUCAUCUCUUGUGUCAGAUGAUUCUUCCAAUCUCCAACCACACCUUUCCUGAAGAACAUAUCAUACUUAGUCCCACUCCAGUGAACUCCUUCUCCUCUCUCUUUACUUGUAUUCCUCAGAUUCUCGAAGCUACAAUCUUUCACGACCUUCUCCACCAUCGUCUUACACCCCAAGAACUCGGCGAUCUUCCUCACGUUUUCUUCUGGUUUUGCUUUCAGAUCUUCGUAAGUGACGAACAACACACGGUCUCUUGCUUCCCAGAACUCAAGGACGUGUUCAAAGUACGGUCCGGCCGGGACAAGCCCUUUACAGAACUCAUCGAAAGCUUCUCGGAUCGAGAUCUCUGUCCCAAACUUGUUGUUGUAGAGAUGCCAGAGAGAGACGAAAGUGUCUGCUGGGUGGCGAGUUAUGUAAAUGACUCUGCAUCCUGAGGUCUUGACAGUCUCCGGCAAAAACGAGAGAGGAAGAUGAGUGUUGAAAACUCUUGGAGAAGAGAUCUCUGUUAUUUCCUUUGAUGGGUUUUCUCCGAACACCUCGAUCUCCAAAAAGGGCACGACCUCGUGCGGAUUGAGGUGAUCCAGAUGGUCAUGGUCACUGUGUGUGGUUGAGCUGUGGCGGAGAAUGGAGGAAGUUAGGGCUUUGAGCCAAGUGGUGCCGGUUUUAGGGAAAGACGCGAGGAUUAUGUCUGAAGGAAGAGGUUUGUAGUGUGCUCUAAUGGCUUCUGAGGCGGUGAUGAAUUCUGGUUUGAACCAGAAGCCUUUGUAUCUACUGCGUUGACCAUCGACCCACCACUUCGCCUGUGGUGGUAGUGAGAUUUUGUCUUCUUCUUGUUGUGGAGUGUCCAUGGAAAGAGAGUGAGACAGAGAGAGAGAUGUGUUUUGGGCUGAAGGGGGUUUCAAUCACUGAAUGACUCUGCGACUUUGGAAGGUUUCACUGUACAUAUAUAUUCUAGAGAAAUUGUCAAAAAACAAAAAAUUUUGUCUAACAUGAAAAUAUUAAGUUUUUGUACACAUUA